rnacentral:rRNA from 1 species
GACGAACGCUGGCGGCGUGCCUAAUACAUGCAAGUAGAACGCACAGUUUAUACCGUAGCUUGCUACACCAUAAACUGUGAGUUGCGAACGGGUGAGUAACGCGUAGGUAACCUGCCUGGUAGCUGGGGAUAACUAUUGGAAACGAUAGCUAAUACCGCAUAAUAUUGAUUAUUGCAUGAUAAUUGAUUGAAAGAUGCUAUUGCAUCACUACCAGAUGGACCUGCGGUGUAUUAGCUAGUAGGUGAGGUAACGGCUCACGUAGGCGACGAUACGUAGCCGACCUGAGAGGGUGAGCGGCCACACUGGGACUGAGACACGGCCCAGACUCCUACGGGAGGCAGCAGUAGGGAAUCUUCGGCAAUGGACGAAAGUCUGACCGAGCAACGCGGCGUGAGUGAAGAAGGUUUUCGGAUCGUAAAGCUCUGUCGUAAGAGAGGAACGGGUGUGAGAGUGGAAAGUUCACACUGUGACGGUAUCUGACCAGAAAGGGACGGCUAACUACGUG